GCCCGGCUGGCUCAGUUGGUGGAACAUGGGACUCUUGAUCUCAGCCUUGUGAGUUCAAGCCCCAUGUUGGGUG
rnacentral:tRNA from 1 species